AGAGCGAACGCUGGCGGCAGGCCUAACACAUGCAAGUCGAGCGCCCGUAGCAAUACGGGAGCGGCAGACGGGAUAGUAACACGUGGGAACGCGCCCUUCGGUUCGGAAUAACUCAGGGAAACUUGAGCUAAUACCGGAUACGCCCUUACGGGGAAAGAUUUAUUGCCGAAGGAACGGCCCGCGUCCGAUUAGCUAGUUGGUGAGGUAAUGGCUCACCAAGGCUCCGAUCGGUAGCUGGUCUGAGAGGAUGACCAGCAUCACUGGGACUGAGACACGGCCCAGACUCCUACGGGAGGCAGCAGUGGGGAAUAUUGGACAAUGGGCGCAAGCCUGAUCCAGCCAUGCCGCGUGGAUGAUGAAGGCCUUAGGGUUGUAAAGUCCGUUUUAACGGGGAAGAUAAUGACGGUACCCAUAGAAGAGCCCGGCUAACUUCGUGCCAGCAGCCGC
rnacentral:rRNA from 1 species